rnacentral:rRNA from 1 species
UACGUAGGGGGCAAGCGUUGUCCGGAUUUAUUGGGCGUAAAGAGCGUGUAGGCGGCCAGGUAGGUGGGUUGUGAAAACUGGAGGCUCAACCUUCAGACGUCGACCCAAACCCCCUGGCUAGAGUCCGGAAGAGGAGAGUGGAAUCCCUGGUGUAGCGGUGAAAUGUGCAGAUAUCAGGAAGAACACCCGUGGCGAAGGCGGCUCUCUGGGGACGGUACUGACGCUGAGACGCGAAAAGCGUGGGGGAGCGAACAGG